rnacentral:miRNA from 1 species
AGAUUGAAAUGUAGCCAAUGAUGACUCUCCGAAAAGACACCCCUAGAAUAUUGUCCCAUAAUUCUAUGGGCUCCCAACAUUUUUCAUAUAAACCUUUGACGAGCUCGUCGGCAAGUCAUCCUUGGCUACACCAUCCACACA